CCCUUAGAUGUUCUGGGCUGCACGCGCGCUACACUGACAUACUCAGCAAGUUUCCUUUCCCGAAAGGGUUGGGUAAUCUUGUUAGUGUAUGUCGUGAUGGGGAUAGAAUAUUGUAAUUAUUGCUCUUUAACGAGGAAUUCCUAGUAAGCGCAAGUCAACAGCUUGCGCUGAUUACGUCCCUGCCCUUUGUACACACCGCCCGUCGCUCCUACCGAUUGAAUGGUCCGGUGAAGCGUUCGGACCGUGGCCUUUGGACGGUUCGCCGUCUGUUGGCUGCGGGAAGUUCGUUAAACCUUAUCAUUUAGAGGAAGGAGAAGUCGUAACA
rnacentral:rRNA from 1 species